GAACCUAACACACUGUUCAUUCAGCCAUUGAAACCCAGCAGAGGAGCAGGCAGGGAAGGGAGGGUGGAAGGACAGAGGCUCCCCUUUCUUCUGGGCUUGGUUCCGGAGGAGGCCAAAAGAGAGUUUACCAGGGAAGCAAUUUGAAGGCAAAAGUCCACUCUAAAGUGAAGAUUCCUCCAGAAGCCGUCCACGGAGACCACGAUCAGGAAGCCUGGGCCGGACUUUCUCCCCUACUGUGAUGACGAUCCCAGUAUUUACUGCCACCAGUAUUGAUCAAAGGUACCAGAUCUCCUGUCAAGAGACAUUGUACUGAAUGGAAGAACUUCUUGAUAUUCUCCUAAUAAAGGAUACAAAGUCUUCCCGGAUAACCUGGAUGGUGAAAACUGUUCCUUCAUGGAAUGUCACCAUGUGGCACAAUCAUACUUCACUUGAGCCAUAGAAAAUUCAAACACUCCCAAAACAACUAGUACACCAUGGAGAGAGAAAAUCUAAUGGCUUCAUGUUAUAGUUUGAAUUUGAAAUGCUCCCCACAGGUUCAUGUAUUUAAUUUGGUGAUACCAUUUGGGAAUACUGUGUGACAUGUAGGGGUCACACCUUGAUGGGAGAAGUGCAUCACGAGGGGCGGGCCUUGAGAAGCCUAGUCCACUUCCUGUUUACUCUACAUGUUUCACAACUAUGUAUGCCAUGUGACCAGCUGUCCUCUGGCUCCAGCUGCCACUCCCUCCAUGUUGUGAUGGAAAACAGUCCCUUGAACUAUAAAAGAGAAUAAACAGCCAAGUCCCAACUCACCAAAA
rnacentral:lncRNA from 1 species